GUGUCAGCAGCCGCGGUAAGACGUAGGAGGCGAGCGUUAUCCGGAUUCACUGGGCGUAAAGCGCAUGUAGGCGGCUCGACAAGUCGUAUGUGUAAGCCCUCGGCUCAACCGGGGGAGGUCAUGCGAGACUGUCGGACUUGAGGGCAGCAGAGGAGCGUGGAACUCCCGGUGUAGCGGUGGAAUGCGUAGAGAUCGGGAAGAACACCAGUGGCGAAGGCGGCGCUCUGGGCUGCAACUGACGCUGAGAUGCGAAAGUGUGGGGAGCAAACGGGAUUAGAUACCCGCGUAGUCC
rnacentral:rRNA from 1 species